UGCCGGCGACCGGCGGACGGGUGCGUAACGCGUAUGUAACCACCUUUGACAGGGGGAUAACAUCGAGAAAUUGGUACUAAUACCCCAUAACAUCACCGGAGGCAUCUUCGGUGGUUGAAAACUCAGGUGGUCAGAGAUGGACAUGCGUUGUAUUAGCUAGUUGGUGAGGUAACGGCUCACCAAGGCGACGAUACAUAGGGGGACUGAGAGGUCAACCCCCCACAUUGGUACUGAGACACGGACCAAACUCCUACGGAAGGCAGCAG
rnacentral:rRNA from 1 species